rnacentral:rRNA from 1 species
CGAUGAUCUCCCGCUUGCGGGGGUGAUUAGUGGCGAACGGGUGAGUAAUACGUGAGUAACCUGCCCUUGACUCUGGGAUAAGCCUGGGAAACCGGGUCUAAUACUGGAUACGACCCUCCAUCGCAUGGUGGGGGGUGGAAAGGGUUUGACUGGUUUUGGAUGGGCUCACGGCCUAUCAGCUUGUUGGUGGGGUAAUGGCUCACCAAGGCGACGACGGGUAGCCGGCCUGAGAGGGUGACCGGCCACACUGGGACUGAGACACGGCCCAGACUCCUACGGGAGGCAGCAGUGGGGAAUAUUGCACAAUGGGCGGAAGCCUGAUGCAGCGACGCCGCGUGAGGGAUGACGGCCUUCGGGUUGUAAACCUCUUUCAGCAGGGAAGAAGCCACAAGUGACGGUACCUGCAGAAGAAGCGCCGGCUAACUACGUGCCAGCAGCCGCGGUAAUACGUAGGGCGCAAGCGUUGUCCGGAAUUAUUGGGCGUAAAGAGCUCGUAGGCGGUUUGUCGCGUCUGCUGUGAAAGCCCGGGGCUCAACCCCGGGUCUGCAGUGGGUACGGGCAGACUAGAGUGCAGUAGGGGAGACUGGAAUUCCUGGUGUAGCGGUGAAAUGCGCAGAUAUCAGGAGGAACACCGAUGGCGAAGGCAGGUCUCUGGGCUGUUACUGACGCUGAGGAGCGAAAGCAUGGGGAGCGAACAGGAUUAGAUACCCUGGUAGUCCAUGCCGUAAACGUUGGGCACUAGGUGUGGGGGACAUUCCACGUUCUCCGCGCCGUAGCUAACGCAUUAAGUGCCCCGCCUGGGGAGUAC